rnacentral:rRNA from 1 species
CAGUAGCGUAUAUUAAAGUUGUUGCAGUUAAAAAGCUCGUAGUUGGAUUUCUGGUAUGACAAGAAUGUGGUCACUAUCCGCUAGGACGGUGACCCAGUACUCGUCUACCAUCCUUCUAGAAAGCGCGCCUACCCUUCACUGGGCUGGGCGCGUGCUCUAGAUCUUUUACUUUGAAGAAAUUAGAGUGUUCAAAGCAGGCUUGCGCUAUGAAUACAUUAGCAUGGAAUAAUAACUUAGGACUUUGGUUCUAUUUUGUUGGUCUAUAGAACUGAAGUAAUGAUUGAUAGGGAUAGUUGGGGGUGCUAGUAUUCCGCGGCCAGAGGUGAAAUUCUUGGAUUCGCGGAAGACUAACUUAUGCGAAAGCAUUCGCCAAGGAUGUCUUCUUUAAUCAAGAACGAAAGUUGGGGGAUCGAAGACGAUUAGAUACCAU